rnacentral:snRNA from 1 species
UGAUGCAGCGGCAGACACAGUACGCACCAAUCUUUCGCCUUUUACUAAAGAUUGCCGUGUGUCUGCCGCAUUACAAUGCAUCUCACACAAAUUUUUGCGGCGCUUCGGCGCCA